GAUGAACGCUGGCGGCGUGCCUAAUACAUGCCAGUCGAGCGAACGGACGAGAAGCUUGCUUCUCUGAUGUUAGCGGCGGACGGGUGAGUAACACGUGUAUAACCUACCUAUCAGACUGGGAUAACUUCGGGAAACCGGAGCUAAUACCGGAUAAUAUUUUGAACCGCAUGGUUCAAAAGUGAAAGACGGUCUUGCUGUCACUUAUAGAUGGAUCCGGGCUGCAUUAGCUGGUUGGUACGGUAACGGCUUAUCACGGCAACGAUGCAUAGCCGACCUGAGAGGGUGAUCGGCCACACUGGAGCUGAAACACGGUCCAGACUCCUACGGGAGGCAGCAGUAGGGAAUCUUACGCAAUGGGCGGAAGCCUGACGGAGCAACGCCGCGUGAGUGAUGAAGGUCUUCGGAUCGUAAAACUCUGUUAUUAGGGAAGAACAUAUGUGUAAGUAACUGUGCACAUCUUGACGGUACCUAGUCAGAAAGCCACGGCUAACUACGUG
rnacentral:rRNA from 1 species